UACGUAGGUGGCAAGCGUUAUCCGGAAUUAUUGGGCGUAAAGGGAGCGCAGGCGGGAAGGUAAGUCGGUCUUAAAAGUGCGGGGCUCAACCCCGUGAUGGGAUCGAAACUAUCUUUCUUGAGUGCAGGAGAGGAAAGCGGAAUUCCCAGCGUAGCGGUGAAAUGCGUAGAUAUUGGGAAGAACACCAGUGGCGAAGGCGGCUUUCUGGACUGUAACUGACGCUGAGGCUCGAAAGCCAGGGUAGCGAACGGG
rnacentral:rRNA from 1 species